rnacentral:misc_RNA from 1 species
GUAGGUGAACCUGCGGAAGGAUCAUUAACACGUUCCAAACGUAUCAACCAAACCGCGAACUCUGACGUUAGUGAUCUCUCUUCCUUCUGGGAGAGACGAUCACGCCUGAGCAUGUUAGGGGAAAGUGCUGUCUGGGAGCUUGCUCCUUUACAGAGUACUUCCUUUAACACUGUUCCUAUUAACCCAAACCCUAUUUGUUGUUUAUUUCUUCGUUGUAAAGGACGUGGCGUUUCACGCUAUUGUCUUUUAU